rnacentral:lncRNA from 1 species
GUGAGAUUUUGGCGGACGAAGGCAUCCACCGGCCCACCGUGCGCUUGCGUGAAACAUUUUUUCUUUUCUUUUGUCUGUCCGCUCCUCCACAGGCGUCCUCUGUCGCGUGCCCACUGCCCAAGGUAAUCGGUCCGCCACUGGAGCACCACCGCCCACGCCCGCGCUCUUCUUGGCCCUGCUCCUCAGGACGAGGCGAGCCGUGACUGCAACGUGAUGAUCGACAACGGCGGCGGCGCACACCCAACAGCGGCGGAGAACAGGGAGCUCCGGCAAUGGGGAACGCGAAUCACCAGAGAUGUUCCAGCAAACACAUGUUACACGGAUGGGAAACUUCUUGCGUUGGGGAACAAGAAGAUCUCCGAUGGUGGGUAACGAUAGCUUGCCUAUCUGUUCCACUCUCUCUCUCUCUUUCUGUAUGCGAUAGUUUUUCAUCUCUCGUUUUCUCUGCAAAUUGCCCAUAUGAACACUUGUGGUAACAUUGAGCUGUUGAUAAGAAGUAGCAGAAUACUACAUAGGGACCAGCUUUAGUUUUGCAUUCUAGAUAAACAAUAUAAGGGAAAAUAAUAAUAAUGACCAUCCAUAGCCAUCUUUCAUCGUUUCUACCAAAGAAUAAAACGUGGUUAUCCAUCUCAUCUAAUCCUUCGCAACCAAACGAUGAAAACUGGCCAUUCCAAACCAUAUGAUUAAGGAUAUCCUCAGCCAAGUCAACCUUACCCAUGAACCGAACGUCCCUUAAUCGAUGAUUACGGUCUUCAAUGAUAAAUAGCUCUGUCCCCUGUGCGUCGGUGGCCUCAAAUUAAUUAAGGCCUCCCAAUAAGUCACCAACUUAUAAGUUAAAAAAUGCAAAAAAUGACUUAUUUUAUCAAACAGGUCCAACUUAUAAAUCACCCUAACUUAUAAGUCAUAAGUUGCUCCACCCCAACUUAAAACUUAUAAGUCACUUACUUUUGGGUGGGUCCCAUCAUUUUUUCAGCCAGCCCACCCGUGACCACGCCUCCCACGCACCGCGCACGACGCACCCCAUGCCUCCCCAUCGCGCAUCGCAUCGCAGGCACCGCGCACCCCACGCCUCCAUCGCGAGCUCGCCGCCGCCGCCCUCUAUCGCGAGCUCGCCGCCGCCGCCCUCCAUCGCGAGCUCGCCGCGGCCGGAUCAGCCCACCGGCAGGACUCGCCCACCGCGCACCCCAUCCCUCCCCACCACGCACCCCAGGUCUCGCCGCCGUCGCCCUCCAUCGCGAGCUCGUCCCGGCCGGAAUCCUUCCGAUCCAGCACGCCGCCGCCCGGAUCCGCUCGCCGCCGCCCGGAUCCGCUCGCCUCCGCCUGGAUCCGCUCGCCUCCUCCACUCGCCGCCCGGUCUCCACCAUGGCCGGUAGGAGCUUCGCCGCCCGGCGACUGAAGCUUUGGGCGCGGCGACUGGAGCACUGGGCGCGGCGACUGGAGCCCUGGGCGAGGCGACUGGAGGCCCGAGCCGGCGGCGUUUCCUGCACUGUCGAAGUACCCGCGUUUCCUGCCCUGUCGGCGUUCUGCAGUCCCAGAAGGCCCCUCCCCGUCGACGCAGCGGCAGGCUGGAAGCGAAGAAUGGCGAAAAAACAGGAUGGAAAGGUGUCGUCAGGUGACUUAUAAGUCACGUGACAACCAAACAGCCGUGACUUAUAAGUCACUGGUUUUAAGUCACCUGACUUAUUGGAACCAAACAGGGUCUAAGCCGGGGAAGGCAGUAGGUUUCUCAAAUUAAUCAUACUACCUCCUUUCCAGAUUAUAAGGCUUGCACGUAUUCCUAGAUUUAUAAUUUGAUUAAGUUAAAAUAAGAUAUAUAGUCUAAAAAUUAUACCAUUAGAAAGUAGAUGGUUUGAAGUUUUUAAUGACAUAUUUUUUGUGAUAUAUAACUUGUAUUACGAUGGUCUAUUUAUCAACUUAGGGAUACACGCAAGCCUUAUAAACCGGAAAGGAGGUAGUAUCAAAGGGUCUAAGUGAGAUUAUGAGGUCUAAAGUCGUCUAUCAACCUCAUGCAGUGUAAAAAAGGUGAUCAACAAAGUAGGCUUAUACCAACCCCAGUACUACCAUGACUUUGUAAAGUUCUUCGUCAACCUCAUGCGAAUUAAAAAUGCCAGUGCGUUUUUCGGAAUAAAUCUACACCAUCUCAAAUCUGAUAGAUCCCUUUGAAUCGGAUGGCUAGGGGAUUCGCGGCAGUGCAGAAGAGAAGAUGGUGUAUACCUUCUCCUUGGCUCGAUAAGCUCGCCCAGUAGACAUGACGGAUGGUGCGACGGUGGCGAUGGCCGAGAGUGGGGCGACGGUGGCGAUGCUUGUGUGUCUUCCGGAAUAAAUCUACACCACCUCAAAUAAUCUUGAACAAUUUGAAGGAUGAGGCGAAUUUAAUAUUGUACUUAAAUUUUAUGUUUUAUUUAACAUGAUAAAUAUUUUUUUCCCUAUCUAACUAUAAGUAUAAAUUUUAUGUUUUAUAACACUAUUAUUCAUUUUAAACCUAAAUGAUAGCUGAAAAGACUCUUUUACCCCUUAUGUAAUAUAUUUAUGUGUAUACGCAUGUGUGUUGCUGCUUGUGUCUGUGCGCACGCGCACGUGACACGCUUACGUGUUUGUGCGCGUGUGCUGCUGCAUGCAAUGUUGCGUGUGUGAUGCAUGCAUACGUGUGUGCUGCUGCUACAUGUGUGUGUUGUGUAUGUGCCUGUGUGCUGCUGCUACAUAUGUAUAUUCCGUGUGUGCAUUUGUGUGCUGGGAGCAUGGCCGGACGGGCAAAAUCUAAGGUCGUAAAAAUAAUGUCCUAUCUUACUAAAAAGAAUGAACUAAAGAGAAAUUGUAAUGCACAUAUAUAUAACACAAAAAAUAUUACUCCCUC